rnacentral:rRNA from 1 species
AACUAUAACGGUCCUAAGGUAGCGAAAUUCCUUGUCAGGUAAGUUCUGACCCGCACGAAAGGCGUAAUGAUUUGGGCACUGUCUCAACAGCCCGCCCGGCGAAAUUGUAGUACUGGUGAAGAUGCCAGUUACCCGCAACUAGACGGAAAGACCCCAUGGAGCUUUACUGCAGCUUAAUACUGAAAUUCGGUAGUACAUGUACAGGAUAGGUGGGAGACUGAGAAAUACAGGCGUCAGCUUGUAUGGAGUCGCUGUUGGGAUACCACUCUUGUACUGCUGGGUUUCUAACCUGCGGCCGUGAAUCCGGUCGGGGGACACUGUUAGGCGGGCAGUUUGACUGGGGCGGUCGCCUCCCAAAAGGUAACGGAGGCGCUCAAAGGUUCGUUCAGCACGGACGGAAAUCGUGCAAUGAGUGUAAACGCAUAAACGAGCCUAACUGCGACACCGACGGGUGGAGCAGUAACGAAAGUUGGAGUUAGUGAUCCGGUGGUAUGUGAGUGGAAAUGCCAUCGCUCAACGGAUAAAAGCUACCCUGGGGAUAACAGGCUGAUCUCCCCCAAGCGUCCACAGCGACGGGGAGGUUUGGCACCUCGAUGUCGGCUCGUCACAUCCUGGGGCUGAAUUCGGUCCCAAGGGUUCGGCUGUUCGCCGAUUAAAGUGGCACGCGAGCUGGGUUCAGAACGUCGUGAGACAGUUCGGUCCCUAUCUGUUGCGGGCGUAAGAGAUUUGAAGGGAGCUGUCCUUAGUACGAGAGGACCGGGAUGGACGUACCUCUGGUGCACCAGUUGUCCUGCCAAGGGCAUAGCUGGGUAGCUAUGUACGGACGAGAUAAACGCUGAAAGCAUCUAAGCGUGAAACUCCCCCUAAGAUGAGAUCUCUCAUCCUUUAAGGAGUAAGGACCCAGAAAGACGAUCUGGUUGAUAGGCCGAAGGUGGAAGCGCAGUAAUGUGUGCAGCUGAUCGGUACUAAUAGUCCGAGGGCUUGACCUA